UACGGAAGGGGCAAGCGUUGUUCGGAAUCAUUGGGCGUAAAGGGCGCGUAGGUGGUUCUGUAUGUCUACCGUGAAAGCGUACGGCUCAACCGUAUUUUGUCGGUAGAAACUGCAGGACUUGAGGCUGGGAGGGGCUGGUGGAAUUCCCUGUGUAGCGGUGAAAUGCGUAGAGAUGGGGGAGAACACGCGUGGCGAAGGCGGCCAGCUAGACCAGUUCUGACACUGAGGCGCGACAGCGUGGGGAGCAAACAGG
rnacentral:rRNA from 1 species